GUCCUAGCUGUAAACGGUGCACGUUUGCUGUAAGAGGAAUCGACCCCUUUUGUGGCGAAGCUAACGCGCUAAACGUGCCGCCUGGGGAGUACGGUCGCAAGAUUAAAACUCAAAGAAAUUGACGGGGGCCUGCACAAGCGGUGGAGUAUGUGGCUUAAUUCGAUGCAACGCGAAGAACCUUACCUGGCCUUGACAUGCACGUGGUAGGAGCCUGAAAGGGUAACGACCCCGCAAGGGGAGCGUGCACAGGUGCUGCAUGGCUGUCGU
rnacentral:rRNA from 1 species